ACGAACGCUGGCGGCGUGCCUCAUACCUGCAAGUCGAGCGAACAGACGAGGAGCUUGCUCCUCUGACGUUAGCGGCGGACGGGUGAGUAACCCGUGGAUAACCUACCUAUAAGACUGGGAUAACUUCGGGAAACCGGAGCUAAUACCGGAUAAUAUAUUGAACCGCAUGGUUCAAUAGUGAAAGACGGUUUUGCUGUCACUUAUAGAUGGAUCCGCGCCGCAUUAGCUAGUUGGUAAGGUAACGGCUUACCAAGGCGACGAUGCGUAGCCGACCUGAGAGGGUGAUCGGCCACACUGGAACUGAGACACGGUCCAGACUCCUACGGGAGGCAGCAGUAGGGAAUCUUCCGCAAUGGGCGAAAGCCUGACGGAGCAACGCCGCGUGAGUGAUGAAGGUCUUCGGAUCGUAAAACUCUGUUAUUAGGGAAGAACAAAUGUGUAAGUAACUAUGCACGUCUUGACGGUACCUAAUCAGAAAGCCACGGCUAACUACGUG
rnacentral:rRNA from 1 species